rnacentral:tRNA from 1 species
ACUUGAAUAGUUUAAUUAAAAUAUUAAUUUGUGGUAUUAAAGAUGUAUAAUAUACUUUAGGUU